GCCCGGCUGGCUCAGUCAGGAGGGCAUGUGACUUGUAAUUUCAGGGUUGUGAGUUUGAGCUCCACGUUGGGUG
rnacentral:tRNA from 1 species